rnacentral:rRNA from 1 species
UACAGAGGGUGCAAGCGUUGUUCGGAAUUAUUGGGCGUAAAGCGCGUGUAGGCGGCUUUGCAAGUCGGGUGUGAAAGCCCUCAGCUCAACUGAGGAAGUGCGCCCGAAACUGCAGAGCUUGAGUGCCGGAGAGGGUGGCGGAAUUCCCCAAGUAGAGGUGAAAUUCGUAGAUAUGGGGAGGAACACCGGUGGCGAAGGCGGCUUCCUGGACCGACACUGACGCUGAGGCGCGAAAGCUAGGGGAGCAAACGGG